GACGAACGCUGGCGGCGUGCUUAACACAUGCAAGUCACGGGGGCCCGCAAGGGCAACCGGCGAACGGGUGCGUAACACGUGAGCAACCUACCGAGAUCUGGGGGAUAGCCGGCCCAACGGCCGGGUAAUACCGCAUACGCUCUUUCCACGGCAUUGUGGAUUGAGGAAACCUCCGGGGGAUUUCGAGGGGCUCGCGGCCUAUCAGCUAGUUGGUGCGGUCACGGCGCACCAAGGCGACGACGGGUAGCUGGCUGAGAGGAUGGCCAGCCACAUUGGGACUGAGAAACGGCCCAGACUCCUACGGGAGGCAGCAGUGGGGAAUCUUGCGCAAUGGCCGAAAGGCUGACGCAGCGACGCCGCGUGUGGGAGGAAGCCUUUCGGGUGUAAACCACUGUUGCCCGGGACGAACAGCUCUCGUGGAGCCUGACGGUACCGGGUGAGGAAGCACCGGCUAACUCCGU
rnacentral:rRNA from 1 species